rnacentral:rRNA from 1 species
AGUUGAUUAUGGCUCAGAUUGAACGCUGGCGGCGUGCUUAACACAUGCAAGUCGCGCGUGAAAGGACUUCGGUCCGAGUAAAGCGGCGCACGGGUGAGUAACGCGUGGAUGAUCUACCCAUGAGUUAGGAAUAACGGCUGGAAACGGUCGCUAAUACCAAAUACGCUCCGAUUUCAACUUCGGGGGAAAGGUGGCCUCUGCUUGCAAGCUACUGCUCAUGGAUGAGUCCGCGUCCCAUUAGCUAGUUGGUGGGGUAACGGCCCACCAAGGCGACGAUGGGUAGCCGGUCUGAGAGGAUGACCGGCCACACUGGGACUGGAACACGGCCCAGACUCCUACGGGAGGCAGCAGUGGGGAAUAUUGCGCAAUGGGCGAAAGCCUGACGCAGCGACGCCGCGUGAGGGGAAUGAAGGUCCUCGGAUCGUAAACCUCUGUCAGGAGGGAAGAACCGCCACGGUGCUAAUCAGCCGUGGUCUGACGGUACCUCCAAAGGAAGCACCGGCUAACUCCGUGCCAGCCGCCGC